rnacentral:rRNA from 1 species
AACGCUAGCUACAGGCUUAACACAUGCAAGUCGAGGGGCAGCAUAAAAGUAGCAAUACUUUGGUGGCGACCGGCGCACGGGUGAGUAACGCGUAUGCAACCUACCUAUCAGAGGGGAAUAACCCGGCGAAAGUCGGACUAAUACCGCAUAAAACAGGGGCACCGCAUGGUGAUAUUUGUUAAAGAAAUUCGCUGAUAGAUGGGCAUGCGUUCCAUUAGGUAGUUGGUGAGGUAACGGCUCACCAAGCCGACGAUGGAUAGGGGAACUGAGAGGUUGGUCCCCCACACUGGUACUGAGACACGGACCAGACUCCUACGGGAGGCAGCAGUGAGGAAUAUUGGUCAAUGGGCGAGAGCCUGAACCAGCCAAGUAGCGUGCAGGAAGACGGCCCUAUGGGUUGUAAACUGCUUUUAUAAGGGAAUAAAGUGAGUCUCGUGAGACUUUUUGCAUGUACCUUAUGAAUAAGGACCGGCUAAUUCCGUGCCAGCAGCCGCGGUAAUACGGAAGGUCCGGGCGUUAUCCGGAUUUAUUGGGUUUAAAGGGAGCGUAGGCCGGAGAUUAAGCGUGUUGUGAAAUGUAGAUGCUCAACAUCUGAAUUGCAGCGCGAACUGGCAGACUUGAGUGUGCGCAACGUAGGCGGAAUUCGUGGUGUAGCGGUGAAAUGCUUAGAUAUCACGAAGAACUCCGAUUG